GGCUGUAGGUGACUGGUUCAUCCAUGAUAUAUGUUGCUUGAGGGGUCAUGUGUUUAUCACAUGGACCAUAUGAUAUGAUGCUAUGCUAUGUGUUGUGAGUUCAUGUGUUUGUCAUGGACCACAUGAUGUGAUGUGAUGCUUAUGUGUGCUUGUGUGCCUGAUGUGUUUCAGACAAGCUGAGAUGCAAGGUGCUAGGAGCUCUAUGGAGUCAGAUCCAUCUGAGUGGGAAAGUGAGCCUUUUCCCCUUGCGAGGUCAGGUGGAGAUGACAGAGCCAGAGACCCUGAAAGGUCUGUUGAAGUCAGCAGAGAAGUUAUGGUGCAGAGGAGGGAUGUUAGUUUGCAAGUGAACAUGGAUGAGGAAAGUAUGG
rnacentral:lncRNA from 1 species